AGGAUUAACGCUGGCGGCGUGCCUAACACAUGCAAGUCGAACGAGGUAGCAAUACCUAGUGGCAGACGGGUGAGUAGCGCGUGGUCAACCUACCGUUGAGUGGGGGAUAACUAGCCGAAAGGUUAGCUAAUACCGCAUACGUCUCCGAGGGGCAUCCCUUGGUGAUAAAAGGAGCAAUCCGCUCGAUGACGGGACCGCGUCCCAUUAGCUAGUUGGUGGGGUAACGCCUACCAAGGCAUCGAUGGGUAGCUGGUUUGAGAGAGCGACCAGCCACACUGGGACUGAGAUACGGCCCAGACUCCUACGGGAGGCAGCAGUGAGGAAUUUUCCGCAAUGGGCGAAAGCCUGACGGAGCGACGCCGCGUGUGGGAAGAAGGCCUUCGGGUCGUAAACCACUGUCGAAGGGGAAGAGUAAUGACGGUACCCUUGGAGGAAGCCCCGGCUAACUACGUAGCCAGCAGCCGC
rnacentral:rRNA from 1 species